UAGGGAAUCUUCGGCAAUGGACGAAAGUCUGACCGAGCAACGCCGCGUGAGUGAAGAAGGUUUUCGGAUCGUAAAACUCUGUUGUUAGAGAAGAACAAGGACGUUAGUAACUGAACGUCCCCUGACGGUAUCUAACCAGAAAGCCACGGCUAACUACGUGCCAGCAGCCGCGGUAAUACGUAGGUGGCAAGCGUUGUCCGGAUUUAUUGGGCGUAAAGCGAGCGCAGGCGGUUUCUUAAGUCUGAUGUGAAAGCCCCCGGCUCAACCGGGGAGGGUCAUUGGAAACUGGGAGACUUGAGUGCAGAAGAGGAGAGUGGAAUUCCAUGUGUAGCGGUGAAAUGCGUAGAUAUAGGGAGGAACACCAGUGGCGAGGGCGGCUGUCUGGUCUGUAACUGACGCUGAGGCUCGAAAGCGUGGGGAGCAAACAGG
rnacentral:rRNA from 1 species